AUUCCCCUAGUAACUGCGAGUGAAGCGGGAAAAGCUCAAAUUUAAAAUCUGGUGGCCUUUGACCAUCCGAGUUGUAAUUUAGAGAAGUGUCUUCCGCGCUGGACCGUGCACAAGUCUCCUGGAAUGGAGCGUCAUAGAGGGUGAGAAUCCCGUCUUUGGCACGGACCCCCAGGGCUUUCGUGAUGCACUCUCAAAGAGUCGAGUUGUUUGGGAAUGCAGCUCAAAAUGGGUGGUGAACUCCAUCUAAAGCUAAAUAUAGGCGAGAGACCGAUAGCGAACAAGUACCGUGAGGGAAAGAUGAAAAGCACUUUGGAAAGAGAGUGAAACAGUACGUGAAAUUGUUGAAAGGGAAACGCUUAAAGUCAGUCACGUCGAUCGAGACUCAGCCUUGCCUUGGCUCGGUGUACUUCUUGCUCGACGGGUCAGCAUCAAUUUUGCCCCUCGGAUAAUGGCAGGAGAAAGGUGGCACCCUUCGUGGGUGUGUUAUAGUCUUCUGUCGGAUGCGGGGGUCAGGAUUGAGGAAACCGUGCAUGCAACCCAUGCUUAGGAUGCUGGCGUAAUGGCUUUAAACGACCCGUCUUGAAACACGGACCAAGGAGUCUAACAUGCCCGCGAGUGUUCGGGUGGAAAACCCGUGCGCGUAAUGAAAGUGAAAGUUGGGACCCCUGUCGUGGGAGGCACCGACGCCCGGACCAGACCUUCUGUGACGGAUCUGCGGUAGAGCGUGCAUGUUGGGACCCGAAAGAUGGUGAACUAUGCCUGAAUAGGGUGAAGCCAGAGGAAACUCUGGUGGAGGCUCGUAGCGAUUCUGACGUGCAAAUCGAUCGUCAAAUUUGGGUAUAGGGGCGAAAGAC
rnacentral:rRNA from 1 species